AUGGCCAACUUCGACCCUUUUAACCCGAGCCCGGUCAAUAACAGCUGUUUAACGAAAACGAGGGAAAGUACGUCGACGAAUCAGGUGAUGUCAUUAAAAGCCUUCAGCAUGCAGAGGCUCGUCCAGCUGGUGCAGAAGAGCAGCAGAAGAGCCUGCCAGCUCUUCUGCUGUCCACUGGACGCCCUGCUGUGUGAGAAGCCGGCGUGCUGCCCCGGUUCAGAUUCUCAACCCACAGCGCCAAAGACUGCACAAGUAGCACUCACCAGUCCGCCGUCCACCAUUUUGAUACUGAACAUCAGCAACUCCACUCUGAUCGACUGCGUCAUUGGGCCUGACACUUACGCAUCUGCAGCGGCGGAAAGUCAUUCUCUGAUGCAGGAACCUGCUCUUCAUGUGCACGAUAAGUUGAGGUGCAGCUGCAGCAACGGACACCAAGGUUCAGCACCGACGUCUCCUACUUCCGCCUCAUCGUGUGUUUCUUCACAAGAGCCUCCGAGCAUCAACAUCCACGGCUCUCACCUCAACUACGUCAUCAUCGGUGACAACAACUACAUGCACGCCGAACACGUGGCUGAAGCAGAAGCACCACUGCUGUGA
rnacentral:lncRNA from 1 species